GCGCAGCUGCGGGGCGACGCCGCUCGAGCGCCCCCUGCCAUGCGGCUCCUCCGCCGUGAGGUGAUUUGGCGGCAGCGGUGAGGGGGGUGGGUCUCGUCACGGCUGCGGGUGCCGCAUCUCGCUCUUCCCUCUGUAAUCCUACGCAGAAUGCGAUCCUUCAUUCGAAACGUUGUUUUUCUUUCCCCCUCUGUGUUCUUUGACAGCUUCUUAAAAGGGCGGACGCAUCUGCAGCAGGCAAAAGAGUGCUUUUUCAGUCAGCAGGGACAUGGCUGCAAAAAGGCAGCCCAGCUACUCUUGUAUCCUUGUACCAUGUUUGUGCUUCUUUCCGCUUUCAUGGGUAUUCAUACGAUUAGAAGAGUCCAUGAGAUCGUUUCCUGGCUUCUUUUGUGCCCAUUCUAACACAACAUACAGAAGAACACCAUAAUACAAAUAGCCACCACACCACCAUCGCAUCUCUCCCAUCACCCAUCCCUUCCAAACCCUGAACUAAAGCUAAAAAAUGCCUCCUCAACACGAACUUUGGCCCUGGCAAUAGACACUGCCAAGCAGCAUCUGACUGCUACUUCUACAGUGACUGCUGCUUUUACACUAUGCCAACCGGUACCCCCCCAGGGAAGCAUGCAAUUGUCAGGCAGCUUGGGUUUCUGGCAGAUGCUUUUCCCCAUACAGAAGCAGCCCGCAGCUCAUACUAGCUUUUAGAUUUGGUAUGUGGAAUUAGAAUUAAACACAUACACAUGGCAGAAUCUCCGAGGAAUUCUGGAUAUUUCUUGAUGUAACAAAGGUUCUAUGUGGGGUCUAUCUAGGACAAAUCUACCACAUUCUGCUUUUCCAGGCUUUGAUAGUUAUUGGCAAGUAUAAGACUCAUGCGUAUCUAAGCAUAAGUAGGAGCACAUUUUUAUCACUCUUUGAUAAGGCUGAAUAAAAAAGGCUUUCUGCAACCAGUGUAUGUGUGCCAGGAAAACCAACAGAGACCGAGAUGAGAAGUAGUGACAAGUCUCCUGCAGAGAACCUGAAGAAUUCACCCGUCACAUUUAUUUUUCCUAGAAUGGCAUCUUCUACAGGAUAGGCCUGAAGCAGGAUGCUGCUGCAGUUCAGCAGCAAUGCAUGUGUGCAGGUGUUAUCCUGGAGCUUCUUCUAGUGGUCCUUCUCUGACUACAUUUGCACUUCUAAAUCAGUAGUCCCUGCCUCUCCUUCUACUCACCUGCUUUUUUUCAGCUAUAGGAUUUACUUGUAAAACAAACAAACAAACAUAAAUCAGAAUCUAAAGGUAUCUGACUUACCACGGAGGAGGUUUAGACACACGAACACAGAUACUGGCCUCUAUGGGCUGAAGGUGGGUCCUCCCCUGACAGCUAAGUGGGAGUUCUCUGUGUGUUCAAAAUACAGAGGCUGUGUCAUUUUGUUGGUGUUGUCAAAAUAUUUUAGAAUACACAUGGUAUUACCUAUCCAUACACCUGCUUGAUGUGUAACCAAACAGUAAGGAAAAAAAAAGUUUAUAGUUCCUGGAUCGUCUCUCCAAAAUAGAUUUCAAAAUAAUCAGUAGAAACCAGUUUUGAAUGGAGGUUUAAAAAGACAGCAGAGAAUGGAGAAGGAUAUAGCUUAGGUGAAAUAUUCAUUUUUCAAGCAAUGUUGGUUGGAUGUUAGUGUUCCUAUCUAGUAUUUUUCUAAUAUCAGCCACUGAAACAUAUAUCAGCAUGGAAAUUAGUACUGCAGUGAUAUGCAAAAUAAGCUAACUCUGAGUAAGCACCUAAAGGCUUUUUGAGACUCACGGAAAGAAAAAGAUAUGAGUACCAGAAUGUGAGCAGCAAAAGCAAAAAGGGAGUCUGAAAAGAAGCCAAAGCAAAGCUAGAAAUAAAUGACUCAAGGAAAGGUACAAACGAAAUGGAGAUGCCACAGAACAUUGAAUAUGAUUAAUGUAUUAUGGCAAGAAAAAUGACAGAUACAGCAUUUUCAGCUCACCAGCUGAAGGCCUUAGUUACCGGAACAGUGCUGCUAUGAUUAUUCACUGCUGCCUCUGUGGUGAGGUAGAGCUCACUUUGAACACCUCCAGUAGUCAUGACAGAGCAGCUGGACCACAGAAGGAAAUCCACACUGCUCUAGGCAUAUUUGACUGUAAUUACAAAGACUUCCUAAUAUGCAUUCAAUGCAGGAAUCUUGAUGCACAGAAAGAGCUACAGAACUAGUUCUCUUCUGGCUACCAAAAAUUACGCGUAUUGCUGAGUCACACCAUCCUCCAGCUGGUGAUUAUGGUCUUUCCCACUGCUUCCUGCCAUUUUAGAGCAAUCCAACAAGGCGCCAUGCAAGAAGACCUCUGGUUUAUUCAGAAUUCCACAUUAUGCAUAACCUAAUGACAUCCCUUUAAAUUCCUUGUUAUUCUUGGAGAGCAUAUGGCCCUUUUGUAAGUGCAGCUGUUACCCUCACAGAAAGCAUGACAAACCUCACAGAACCACAGGAAACAGGACCUUGGUGGUCAUCCAGCCCAUGAGGCUGUUCAAAGACAUUCUGGAAGGCUGUUUGUCUGAACUCUGCCCCAUUGUCUUGUGAAUCUGCAAAAUGUCAUGCUACAUCAGAGAAUCUUAAUAUAAGUAUUUCCAUGUAUUGAAGACAGACUUUGAUACAAGCUUUUCUGGACUGUCCUGCUUAACUACAGCUGAUUUUAAUUCUCUACUUUCCCCAAAAGGUUAUUUUUCAAUCCAGCUUGUUUUUCUGGUGGAGGGAAAAAAAAAAGAAGCAUUAGGAAAAGUCAUUAGGAAGGAAUAAGUAAGCAAUUGCCUUGAUUUUGUUGAAAUAUGCAUACCCUUCCAUGUGAAACUCACUUGACAAACCCAGGAAGAUAGAUGGAAAUAUUUGCAAAGUGAAGUGAAAAGUGAGUGAAAAGCUGCUUUACUGAGAAGUUUUGCCCCAAAAUGUAAUUUAAGAAAGUAUGUAAACUUCCACAGAAACCUCUGGUCUGAUGAACUUGCCACGCAUUUUUUGAAGUGAAUAGAAAAAAAAAGUAGUUGUCCAUCUGUGUCCUCUAAUGUAUAUGCUCUAGACUCUGAUGAAUGAGUCAUUAACAUUAGGCCACAUCUUGUUUGUCUAGGUUUUGAAGGGAAAAAAACACUAAUUCCUCAGCCUCUGCUGCCAUCACAUGGCUGUGUAUUGUCCUCCAUUAAUGCACCUAUCCUGUUUACAGUUGCAUUGUAUUUCCAUGCAAUUUCUUUCCCGUUUUUCAGAAAUGACAUAAGUAAUUGACAUUGGGUUUUUUCCAAGUUUCUGCAGAUUAAAUUAUUUUUACUGGCAGAUAGUGAGCAAGCUGUCAUACAACAGAACUAGCAGUUUUGGUGGGUUUAAUAUUUGCCUUAUGUUAUGCUAUGAACGCUUAUUAUGCUACCCCUAUGAAUGUGUUAAUUACAACAUAUAUAUUAACUGCCAAUGUCAAUGCCACUGUUUCUUUCCAUAACAAGUUCUAUCUGCUGUUCUCUUCUAGGAAAAACAACUGAGCAGAGAUUAUAAAUAAAUUACUUCAUUUUCA